AGUGAACGCUGGCGGCGUGCUUAACACAUGCAAGUCGAACGAGAACGGAAUAUAGCUUGCUAUAUUUGUCAGCUAAGUGGCGCACGGGUGAGUAAUGUAUAGAUAACCUGCCCUUAAAGAAGGAAUAACAGUUGGAAACGACUGCUAAUGCCCUAUAUGCCUUUAAUACAUAAGUAUGCAAGGGAAACGCUUUAGUGCUUAAGGAUGGGUCUGUAUGGUAUCAGCUUGUUGGUGAGGUAAUGGCUCACCAAGGCUAUGACGCCUAACUGGUUUGAGAGGAUGAUCAGUCACACUGGAACUGAGACACGGUCCAGGCUCCUACGGGAGGCAGCAGUGGGGAAUAUUGCACAAUGGACGAAAGUCUGAUGCAGCAACGCCGCGUGGAGGAUGACACAUUUCGGUGCGUAAACUCCUUUUAUAUAGGAAGAUAAUGACGGUACUAUAUGAAUAAGCACCGGCUAACUCCGUGCCAGCCGCCGCGGUAA
rnacentral:rRNA from 1 species